GACGAACGCUGGCGGCGCGCCUAACACAUGCAAGUCGAACGGAGCUGAGAGAAGCUUGCUUUUCUUAGCUUAGUGGCGAACGGGUGAGUAACGCGUGAGUAACCUGCCCUGGAGUGGGGGACAACAGCUGGAAACGACUGCUAAUACCGCAUAAGCCCACGAUCCGGCAUCGGAUUGAGGGAAAAGGAUUUAUUCGCUUCAGGAUGGACUCGCGUCCAAUUAGCUAGUUGGUGAGGUAACGGCCCACCAAGGCGACGAUUGGUAGCCGGACUGAGAGGUUGAACGGCCACAUUGGGACUGAGACACGGCGCAGACUCCUACGGGAGGCAGCAGUGGGGGAUAUUGCACAAUGGGGGAAACCCUGAUGCAGCGACGCCGCGUGGAGGAAGAAGGUUUUCGGAUUGUAAACUCCUGUCGUUAGGGACGAUAAUGACGGUACCUAACAAGAAAGCACCGGCUAACUACGCG
rnacentral:rRNA from 1 species